rnacentral:rRNA from 1 species
UACGGGGGGAGCAAGCGUUGUUCGGAUUUACUGGGCGUAAAGCGCACGCAGGUGGCUGAGUCAGUCGAUUGUGAAAGCCCUGGGCUUAACCUGGGAAUUGCAGUCGAUACUACUCAGCUAGAGUAUGGGAGAGGGUAGUGGAAUUCCCGGUGUAGCGGUGAAAUGCGUAGAUAUCGGGAGGAACAUCAGUGGCGAAGGCGGCUACCUGGCCCAAUACUGACACUCAGGU